ACCGAGCCUAGAGUCACUGACCAUGCCAAUGUAUGGUAAGUGCUAGAGGAUCUCGGAGAGUAAUAUUCUUUCAUAUGCCCUGCAUAUGCUAAUUAUACAUAUUGCAGGCACCUGAUAAGAUACAUUC